UUCCAGGGCCAGGCUAGUCCGCCCUGGGUGAGUCGGGACCUAAGGCGAGGCCGACGGGCGUAGUCGAUGGAUGACGGGUUGAUAUUCCCGUACCGGACCGGAUACCGACCGUGCCGACGCGCGGGUGCUGACCCACGCCCCGCGCCGCCCGUGUACGCCCCCGCGUCCCGGUCUUCGGGCCGGGCGGGGGCGGGGCGGCGGGGGUCUGGGGACCCUCCGCGCAGGUAGGCAAGCGUAUUAACAGGGGUGACGCGCAGUGGUGGCCCCGCGGGUCUGAUGGCUCGGCCCGUUCAAGCGCGCGGCCCGCCGCCCAGGCAAAUCCGGGCGGCUGCCUUCGAUGGCGGGGGUGAGGCGCGAUGGUGACCCGGCCCGACCGGCCGGGGAAGUAGGGUGAUCCUGUGGCGCCGAGAAAAGCCUCGACGCGAGGGGCCGGUCCGCCCGUACCCCAAACCGACACAGGUGGUCGGGCAGAGCAUGCCCAGGCGCACGGGCGAACCGUGGUGAAGGAACUCGGCAAAACGCCCCCGUAACUUCGGGAGAAGGGGGGCCCGAACCCUGAAACGGCCAGCCCGUUGGGGGUGAGGGUCGCAGAGGCCAGGGGGGAGCGACUGUUUACUAAAAACACAGGUCCGUGCGAAGCCGUAAGGCGAUGUAUACGGACUGACGCCUGCCCGGUGCUGGAAGGUUAAGAGGAACCAUCAACCCCCUCGGGGGUGAAGUGGUGAAUUUAAGCCCCAGUAAACGGCGGUGGUAACUAUAACCAUCCUAAGGUAGCGAAAUUCCUUGUCGGGUAAGUUCCGACCUGCACGAAUGGCGUAACGACUUCCCCGCUGUCUCCACCACGGGCUCGGCGAAAUUGCACUACGAGUAAAGAUGCUCGUUACGCGCAGAAGGACGGAAAGACCCCGGGACCUUCACUGCAGCUUGGUAUUGGCGCCCGGUUCGGCUCGUGCAGGAUAGGUGGGAGACUGUGAGGCCGCCGCGUCAGCGGUGCGCGGAGUCGUCGUUGAGAUACCACUCCGGCCGUGUCGUGCGCCUGAACCUGGGCCCGUGAUCCGGGUCAGGGACAGUGCCUGGCGGGUAGUUCAACUGGGGCGGUUGCCUCCCAAAGAGUAACGGAGGCGCUCAAAGGUCCCCUCAGCCUGGUCGGCAACCAGGUGUCGAGUGCAAGUGCACAAGGGGGCUUGACUGCGAGACCGACGGGUCGGGCAGGUGCGAAAGCAGGAACUAGUGAUCCGGCGGCUCCGUGUGGACGGGCCGUCGCUCAACGGAUAAAAGGUACCCCGGGGAUAACAGGCUGAUCCUGCCCAAGAGUCCAUAUCGACGGCAUGGUUUGGCACCUCGAUGUCGGCUCGUCGCAUCCUGGGGCUGGAGCAGGUCCCAAGGGUUGGGCUGUUCGCCCAUUAAAGCGGUACGCGAGCUGGGUUUAGAACGUCGUGAGACAGUUCGGUCCCUAUCCUCUGCGCGCGCAGGAGACUUGAGGAGACCCGUCCCCAGUACGAGAGGACCGGGACGGACGGACCUCUGGUGCGCCAGUUGUCCCGCCAGGGGCACCGCUGGUUGGCCACGUCCGGGAAGGGUAACCGCUGAAGGCAUCUAAGCGGGAAACCACCUCCAAGACCAGGUCCCCGCACAACCCCCCCGGGGGGUUGUGGAAGGCCCCCAGUGGACCACUGGGUCGAUAGGCCGGAGGUGCAAGCCCGGCAACGGGCUCAGCCGACCGGUACUAAUAGGCCGACACGAACCACACA
rnacentral:rRNA from 1 species